UCUUCUUGGUAGUUUUUGAAGUAUAGCCUGCCCGCUGAUUGAAGGGCCGCGGUAUUUUGACCGUGCAAAGGUAGCAUAGUCAUUAGUUCUUUAAUUGUGAACUGGUAUGAAUGGCUUGACGAGAUAUGAGCUGUCUUUUUGAAUUUGUAUUUUGAGUUAAAAUUCUUAGAUGUUUUUAUGGGACGAGAAGACCCUAUAGAGUUUUACGUUAGGUUCUUUUGUUUGUUUUCCAUUUUAUGUUUGUUUUGUUGGGGUGAUGGGAGGAUUUUCUUUAACUCCUCUUUUUGUUAUAUUGAUUUGUAUUUGUUUUGAUCCAUUUAUUUUGAUUAUAAGAUUAAAUUACCUUAGGGAUAACAGCGUUAUCUCCCCUGAGAGUUCUUAUUGGCGGGGGGGUUUGCGACCUCGAUGUUGGAUUAAGGUUUAUUUUUGGUGUAGGAGCUGAAUGGAUUAGGUCUGUUCGACCUUUAAAAUCUU
rnacentral:rRNA from 1 species